rnacentral:rRNA from 1 species
GACGAACGCUGGCGGCGUGCCUAACACAUGCAAGUCGAACGGAAAGGCCCUGCUUUUGUGGGGUGCUCGAGUGGCGAACGGGUGAGUAACACGUGAGUAACCUGCGCUUGACUUUGGGAUAACUUCAGGAAACUGGGGCUAAUACCGGAUAGGAGCUCCUGCUUCAUGGUGGGGGAUGGAAAGUUGCGGCGGUUGGGGAUGGAUUCGCGGCUUAUCAGCUUGUUGGUGGGGUAGUGGCUUACCAAGGCUUUGACGGGUAGCCGGCCUGAGAGGGUGACCGGCGACACUAGGCCUGAGAUACGACCCAGACCCGAACGGUAGGCAACAGUGGAGAGUAUGACACAAUGGGCGGAAGCCUGAUCUAGCAACGCCGCGUGCGGGAUGACGGCAUUCGGGUUGUAAACCGAUUUCGCCUGUGACGAGGCGUGAGUGACGGUACCGGGUAAAGAAGCACCGGCUAACUACGUG